rnacentral:rRNA from 1 species
GACGAACGCUGGCGGCGUGCUUAACACAUGCAAGUCGAACGGAAAGGCCCUGCUUUUGUGGGGUGCUCGAGUGGCGAACGGGUGAGUAAAAGGUGAGUAACCUGCCCUUGACUUUGGGAUAACUUCGGGAAACUGGGGCUAAUACCGGAUAGGAGCUCCUGCGGCAUGGUGGGGGUGGGAAAGUUUCGGCGGUUGGGGAUGGACUCGCGGCUUAUCAGCUUGUUGGUGGGGUAGUGGCUUACCAAGGCUUUGACGGGUAGCCGGCCUGAGAGGGUGACCGGCCACAUUGGGACUGAGAUACGGCCCAGACUCCUACGGGAGGCAGCAGUGGGGAAUAUUGCACAAUGGGCGGAAGCCUGAUGCAGCAACGCCGCGUGCGGGAUGACGGCCUUCGGGUUGUAAACCGCUUUCGCCUGUGACGAAGCGUGAGUGACGGUAAUGGGUAAAGAAGCACCGGCUAACUACGUG